rnacentral:rRNA from 1 species
CCUACGGGAGGCAGCAGUGGGGAAUAUUGGACAAUGGGGGCAACCCUGAUCCAGCCAUGCCGCGUGUGUGAAGAAGGCCCUCGGGUUGUAAAGCACUUUCAGUGAGGAAGAACGCCUGGUGGUUAAUACCCAUCAGGAAAGACAUCACUCACAGAAGAAGCACCGGCUAACUCCGUGCCAGCAGCCGCGGUAAUACGGAGGGUGCGAGCGUUAAUCGGAAUUACUGGGCGUAAAGCGCGCGUAGGUGGCUUGAUAAGCCGGUUGUGAAAGCCCCGGGCUCAACCUGGGAACGGCAUCCGGAACCGUCAAGCUAGAGUGCAGGAGAGGAAGGUAGAAUUCCCGGUGUAGCGGUGAAAUGCGUAGAGAUCGGGAGGAAUACCAGUGGCGAAGGCGGCCUUCUGGACUGACACUGACACUGAGGUGCGAAAGCGUGGGUAGCAAACAGGAUUAGAUACCCUUGUAGUC